GGUGAGAGCUGUAGCUCAAUGGUAGAGCAUCUACUUUGCAUGCAAAAGAUCCUGGGUUCAGUCCCCCAGUGGCAUCU